UAGAGAUCUAAUUGAAUCCGUGGAGGAUAUGUUGAGCCCCAUCAGCUCUGCUACGAGGAAGCUAAGUCAACACAGCGGGGAAAUUUCCGAAACUAAAGAUGCAACAUAUGUCAGAGAGCUGAAAUUGCAUAGAAGGCUGACCUGGAUUUGGAUUUCUUCAGAAGUUCCCAUUGUACCUUAUGCAGGGUGGGUUUUCCUUUCCAGAAAUAUCAGCAAGAUUCUGUAUUGGCUUCAGCUCUUAUCUGCGAUAGCCUGCAUUAUCCUUUCAUUGAUGAAGCUCCUCGAGCACAAUUUUGGUAAGGUCACUGAAGGAGACACUGUCGAGAGGCACUGAAAAGCUGCUCUGUGUACCUUUUAUGCCUUGGCUUUGGCAGAUGCUCUGGUCGUCUUGGCAGAGAAAGUUUACUGGCAGUGGAAGGUUGUCAUCUAUAAGCUUCUCAAGCGAGUGAACGAGGAAUGUGAUCUGUGGGCUUUGGGUAUGAUCUCGACUCGGAGAUUUUUCUAUGAAUCCUAUUCAAAAUGUAUUCAUGGGAGCAUUUUUUAUGGUCUGGGAAUGGAUUUGGUCACUUUUGCUAUGGAUCUCCUAUGUUCAAACUCGCCACAUGAGCAGCUCAUAGGAGCCAGGAUUCUUCACCAGUUUUCUAUGAAAGAACGGUUUUCAAAUGACAUGCUUCAGAAGUUCGGAACAACUCUGCCAGUCAUAGAGACCCACAAGAGGAAGAAAUCAGGCUAUCAGCUGCAGAAAUAGUUUCCAAAUUAACCAAGGAAAAGCAAAACUCUCUUCGGGUCGCUGGAAUUCCCGGAGCAAUGGAAUCGAUUUCAUCUCUUCUCUCAACAAAUGGAAGCCCCAGAACUCCAGCAGACAGAAUUGGUGGAAAGAAAAUCAUCUUUGACCAUGAAGACUAUGGAUACUGGACUUUCAAUAUUUGGGACUUCUCAUUCUGAAGAAACUAGCCCGUGAUCAAUAUAACUGCAGAAAAAUUGGAAACACAAGGGGCCUUCUUUCCAAAAUCAUAGAUUUCACUCACGCUGACGAAAGAAUAUUGAAGGAUUCAACCGUUACCACAUUGCAGGUUUGACUGUAAAAAGAUCCCUUCAGGUUAUAAAGAUGCUGGCAAGCACGACAAGUACCACAGGGAAAAUUAUGCAGAGAGAGAUCUCAGAGAUAGCCUACAACAUAAGCAACAUAAGAGAUAUUCCACGACACGGAGAGAAACGACCAGAACUGCAGAAAUUAGGGAUUGAGAUCCUGACCAAUUUAGCACAAGAACACGAUGCAACAGAGUGUAUAAGAGGGACUGGUGGAGUUCUGAAAGAACUGUUAAACAUUUUCUUCCAAGAAGUGCCGGAAAAUCAGAGGGACAUGAGGAUAGUGGCCGGAGAAGCCCUGGCAAUGCUGGCUUUCGAGAACAAGAGCAACUGUCAUCGCAUCUUGAAGUUAAAUGAAGUGGAGACUCUCCACUGGAGAGGCUCCUAAAAGCAUUGGAGAUUCCGCUUCUUCAUGUUAUUGCUGGAAGAAUUUUGAGGAAUCUGUGCACUUACAGUGGGCCAGAGUCCUUCAACCAGCUAAAGGGAGUAACAGCAGCAGCACCAACAGUUCUCAAGGCAAUCUUGUCAGGAGAAGGCAAACUACAAGAGGUGAUAGUUGGGUUAGCGGUACAUGCUUUCAAGUUCAUGACAGCAGAAGAAUCGACUGCCUUCUUCAAGAGGGCAGGGUUUAGUGAAGCCAAAUUAGCGUGCGCUUUGGUUGAGAUCCUGAGAAGCCACUGGAACCCACAUAUAAAGGUGCCGGAUUGAGAAGGUUUGCAAUUGAGCUGGCAAUCUGGAUGAUGAGAGAGAAAUCAACAAAUGUGCAGAUCUUCAGGGAUCUGGGCAUGGAGGAGGAGCUUGAAGGAGUAAUGGAUACGACAUCAGAGCUAGAAAGCUUCCAUAUUUUCUCUGGCACCAAUGGCCUAAGCAGGCACAGCAUGACCAUUCACUCACUUGUUGAGACCGCACUUAUGCUGCUGAAGAACAACAUGAUUGAUCAAACAAAAGAUUACUGACACAGUGAUGAUGCCAAAAUAUCCAACAAAUGGAAAACAUGAAGGCAUGCCGGUUCAUUCUCCAAUCCCAGAUGUAAAGAAAUAAAAGUAAUUGCUUCUUUGGCAACUCUGUCCCGCAUAAGUAUGAUGAAAUGCUUCCGAAAGUUAGCACCUUCCUUAUUUGUUUGCACAGGUUUUGUGCGAUUAACAGCACACCACAAGUACUGCUACCAAAACAUAUGCAAAAUGUGUACAUAGACCACAUUCUUAUAAUUUACAUUUCAACUCCUGUACAUUCAAGCA